GUGGCUCAGUGGUAGAGUGCUUGCCUUGCAUGCAAGAGGCCCUGGGUUCGAUUCCUCAGC
rfam:Dipodomys ordii contig_723, whole genome shotgun sequence.